rnacentral:misc_RNA from 1 species
UCCCCGUUACCGGGGCAGUCUGGCUAGAAAAAUACAACUAACCAUAAGGGUUGCGCUCGUUGAAGGACUUAACCUAACAUCUCACGACACGAGCUGACGACGGCCAUGCAACACCUGUCACUUGGUUCCAAAAGGCACUCUCGGCUUUCGCCAAAAUUCCAAGGAUUUCAAACCCUGGUGAGGUUCUUCGCUUACCAUCGAAUUAAACAACACGCUCCACCGCUUGUGCGGGUCCCCGUCAAUUCCUUUGAGUUUUAGUCUUGCGACCGUACUACUCAGGCGGGAUGCUUAACGCGUUAGCUUCGCUACAUACCGGGUCGAUACGGCAUACAGCUAGCAUCCAUAGUUUACGGCGUGGACUAC